UCUUAGUGGGAUAUGUGGCUAUAUGAGAUAUAGACACCUAGCCCACUAAGUUCCACUAAUUGUUAGUGGAACAUUAGGUGUUGAGAUUUGGCAAAUGAAUUGCAUGCAUUUUUGCAUGUAAUUAGGCUAUAAAUAGAGAUGUUUUCAAAUGUUGAAGGACUUUUGCCUCUUUUAUCAUUUUCAUAAUCUCAACAAAAGAAAAAAGAAAGCUUCCAAUCUCAUUUUAUCUCCAUUACUUUCUACACCAAAAUUGGGUCCCACAACCCGGUUCUUUGUCUAGAGGAUAGCAGUUGAGUACUAGUGGUGGUCUCGGGUAGAAUUGGUAAGAAGACAUCAAACCUUUUGAAAGCUUCAAAGGUAAUACUUCUUAAAACCCUAAUUUGAUUAGUUUAUGGUUAGUUUAAUUAUGGCAAUUAGGGUAGAAAUUCGAUUCUUUUUCCGCUGUGCAUGACUUAGUUCUAUCAUAUGAAAAAUAUUUUAAAUAGAAAAACAAAUACAUUUAAAAAUAUAGCAAAAUAUCACCGUAAAUAGUAGUUGUAGUAUAUCGAUAAUUAUAAACAUUAUGAUCCAUUUUGUUCUACUUAAAAACAACUUACAAUUCAAACUACUUCAAUACAACGUUAAUUUAUAGCAAAUUAUAGAAAGUCGGAAUUAAUUUUCUCAAAUUUAAAAUUAAAAAUUUACAAAAACCCUAGUUUGUUUAAAUCAAACUUUUUAAAAACACAAUUACUAGUGCUACAACCAUCUCUAACUAAACCCUAAAGUCAAAUCUUAAUAACAUAAUUAUUAAUCAACUUUAAAAUAGAAAAAAAAAAAAAGCAAUUAGAAAUUUAAUGUCCAAAGAAACUUUGUGCAUAUAAUUGGAAAAAAAAUUAAGAUAAGAAGAUUAGUUUUAGAAUCCAAAUAGUAUUGGGCAUCAAUCAUAUACUAGCUAAGCUAAGUAUGUGAGAAUGAAUUUGAAUGAUCAAUAAAUAUAAAUUUGAAUGUACUAUCAAUCUUACUUCAUCCAAAUAAUUAAAUAAAUAAUCCAUAUUAUAUAUUGUAAUGUUGUUUAAUUAUAACCUAUUAAAAAUGUUAAUUAAUUAACUGUAUAGAUGCCGAAGCAUCAAUAGAAUAUAUUAUGCAUAUGAUCAUUAUCCGAUUAGAUUCUCAGUCAGCAUAUUAUUUGUUUAUUUAUAACUUAAUUGGGUUUGAAGAUUAUAUGCAUUAUGAGUGAAUCUUCCCAAUACUCUGUAACUUUUAAUGUGUACAUCAAUAUCAUGUUUAGAUCAUAAUAUUCCCAUAACCCACUAUUUGACUUGUUAUGAAAUUAAUAAUACAAAGUUUAAUUUGUUUAAUCUUUUGACUGUGAGCAUGCAGCCCAAUUAUUAAUACUCCCAGAAUUAAUUAACAAUUAUCUGUUACUAAUUAUUAUUAUUAUUAUUCAAUAGAGGAUAAGAUAAAACGAUAAUUUAUCGGUUCUCGAUAAGUUUGACGUAAACAUGAAGGGUGAAUCAUAUUUUAUGUGAGGUUUUUAAUUUUGUUGCGAGGAUGUUUACUUCAAUUGUUAAUUUGUCAUCUUUUUGGUUCUAUUAUUUAAUCAUUCUUAUUUGUAUUCUAGGGUUAACUUGAUCUAGAUGAAUAUAUGUAUUUAUAAUUGUGAGAAUUAAAAGAAAAGCGAGCAUUGUGAACUAUUCGAUGAUAUUAUUAAUUCAAUCGUUAUAGAUAUUUUGAUUGUUCUACGCUUGUUUUCUACUUUAUAUAAGUGUGAAAUCGCAUUCAAUGAAAAAACGGGUUCUUAAGAUUAGAAAUCUAAAUGAUUGUGUUUAGAAAUUUGUUUCAAACAUGCGAUGAAAAGAUUAAAGUACUUCCAUUUGGAAUAAAUUUUUCAUACACUAUCUAGUAAAGCAUACCUCUAUAAUUGUUUGAACGUAAUUUAUUAGUGAAGUUCUUUUCAUCGAACUCUCUAUGUUUAUUCUACUAUCCUUUUCAUAUUAUGUCGUUUAUAUAAAUGUAUGACUUUGCUACUUCAUUGACUUAAUUAGAUUCACAUAUUUUUUUUUUAUGUAAUGUUAACCUAACAUUAAUAAUAAAAAAUAAAAAGAACUCAAACUUAUCGAAAAUACGUAAAAUUCUAUAAACAUAUAUAUGAAUCUUUUUUAUAUAAAUUAUUGGAUCGUAGACAUAUCAAUAUUCCAUUAACAAUCUAAUCCAUUAUCAAAAACUAAACCCCUAAUCAAUCCUUUAUUUAGAAUAAUUCCAAACAACUUGGCAUUAGUUAAUUAAAUUUAAGAAGGUUGCACAUAUACAAAGUUAUAUAUAAUGCAAUAAUAUCAAUUGUUAAGUCAUAUUGUCAUUAAUUAAUUGCUUAAAAAAUAAACAAAAACGAAUGGUCAUAAUUAAUGGCUAUUAUUAGUGGAUAAUGUGAUCUUUUUCUUUUUCUUUUUUAAAGGAAUUAUAUGAUAACAAAACUCUUAAUUCCAUUCUGCAUAUGCUCAAAUGCCAAAUCAAAUAAUUUAAAUUGUUUGGUGACAGAAUUCUCUAAACCCAUAUUUUAUAGCUUAAAUCAGCUUUAUAUUGCCUCAUUAAAGGGGAAACAAAUUAUUGUAUAAUAAAAGAAACUACAUCGUAUAGCUGGGUUUUAAUUUAAACAAAAAUUAGUAAAAACAUAUUCAUGUGUGACAACUAAAUUACGAUAAUUCCAUUUACUAAAUAUACAAUGGUAGAAACCAAAUUUGAAAUUAAAAAAAGGACAAUAUACUUAUUCUUAUAUCAUACUUUUUUUAUCAUAAUUUCCAAAAUAUUAGUUAAGAAAAUAAUCUAGAGGAAUAGAGAGUUCAUAUAAAAAAAUAAUUUUAAGAGUUGUUAAGUUACAUGUAAUAAUGCAACUAAACAAUUUUAAUUUCAAACAGACAUUGAAAAUGAAGAAUAUGUACAAAUUAUGCAAAAUAGAAUAUCUAUAAAUUUCAAUGAAUAAACUUUUAAUUUGAAAAAUGUUGGGAAUACAACUAUAUAUAUAUAUAUAUAAUUAGAAGUGGAAAAAACAAAUAGCACUUCUAUACAUAUAAGACUUUUCACUGAGUAAUUAAGAAAUACAAAUAAUAUCAAUAUGGAUAAUAUAAAUUAGAUUAUUCAAUUGAAUCAAAUUGGUAUGAAAUAACUUCACCAAACUCUUUAUUACAAUUCCUAAUACAAAACUAAACAAAGAUUUUGAUACUUCCCUUAAACUAAAAUUAAUUAGGGCAUAUAUAUUUCAAAGUUAUUUUUUAAAUUGGGCAAUAUUCAAAUUCAAAUAACCUAAAUCUAAAGUUUCAAAUUAACAAAAUUUGUCUACUUCUUCCUAAUUAGUCUUAUACCCAAAUUUUAGUAAAACUUGAAAGAUCAAAAGACAUAUGAAAUAAAAUUAAAUUAAAUUUUACUAAUAUUAAAAAAAUAAUGGAAUAUAGCUUCAAUUAUAUGAUAUUUUUUUAAAAUAGUCAACGUACAGAUUUCAGGAUUCCAUUUUUCACUUCAAACAUAGACUUUCUAAAUCCAUGUUUAACAAAUAUACAUAUAUAAAAUACACAUACAAUUUAACUCGACAACUCAUUAACUUCUGACAUCUUAAACACGUCUUUCAUAUUCGGUUUAAACUCGAUCAUAGUAAUGAUAUUUAAAAGAAUGAAAAGUAGAGAGAAUUAAUGUUAGGUAGAUUGAGAACUUACAAUUAAAUUUUUGGAAGGAAAAGAGAAAGGGGUUAUGGAGUGGCAGAGCUUGUUUAAUUUCUCUAAUUUGCCCAUUCCUUCAAACAUACAGAAGAGAGCAGCAAAGUGUGUUAUUGCUUCUUCUUAUUAAUGUAUUAAUGUAUUAAUUAUUGAUGUUUAGUUUAAUGUGUUUGAAACUUUUUAGGUUCAUUGAAUGUAGACACACUUUCAAUGCUUCAUCUUUCCCAAUGAUUUUAUAAUUCAACUAUUCAAACUACAAUUACAAUUACUUCAUGAAUUAACUAGCUUUAAUUGAUAUGUUCAAACAUAAUUUUACCCUCUUUAGUUUGAAAUUCAGAGCUUUCUCUAGAUAGACAUUUUUCGUUUAUAUAUUUAUAAAAAGAAUAAAUCCAUCCCAAUCAGCACCUCUCACGGUAGAUGAACAGAUAAUAACUGUUUAUACCGGAACUAAUGGUUAUCUUGAUUCAUUAGAAAUUGCACAAGUAAGGAAAUUUUGAAUGAAAUAGUUGCAAAAAUGUACCUAUUAUUAUGAACGUGUGACUAAAAAUGUCAAUUUCUAAAAAUUCCGAGGCCAAAAGUAUGUAUUCAUCAAAACUUGGGGACUAGAAAGAUAGUUUCUUUUACCCGAUCAUAAAAAAGUGCUAAUUUUUUUUUAUUUAGAAAUGACAUUAACAAUAAUUUUUUUAAAAAAAUAUUAAUGGUAUAUCAAAUCAAACACAACUCAUAUAAAAAGAAAUCGUAUUGCAUUUUUAUUAUACUAAAAUAUAAAUAAACUAUACAAUCAUUUUCAACCAUUUGUAUUAUUAUUAUCAUGUAUUAUUAUUAUUAUGACAGAUUUAUAGUAGUUUAGGGUUAACAUGUUAGGACAUAACAACAUUAAUAAUAAUAAUAUGAACAAAUACUUUACUUUUAUAAACUAUAUAUGUCAAUAUCAUUACAAUUAUAACUUAAAGUCGACACGAAAAAGUCAUAUAUAUAUAUAGUGAUUAAUUAGAGGCGUACCAUACAAACUUUUUAUUCAAACACUACUGUAGUUCUCACACGUAUAUAUAUGUGAAAGCUAGCAUAGGUUAGUUGUAUUAGCGAGUGUGGGUUUUCUUGUGUUACUGAUCAUACAUCAAAUGAGUAUAGUAAUAAUGGAAGCAAUUAUUUCUUCCUUUGUAUGCAUGAAAUUGCUACCUGUUGAGGCACAUUGUGGAUUUUAUAAAUUUUUUUAUUAGGUGUGAAAAUGUCUUAUUAUUAUUAUUUUUAGUUUAGGUUCAACGAAUGUAGACUUGUUUUUAAGCCAAAGGUUUUACAAUUAUUAUAAAGAUUAUGUUGUUUUUCAUUUUUUAAAAAGUAUAUUAUAUCAUAGACUCCUUUGGAUGUCUCCAUGAAAAAUAUUAAAAUAACAAUAUGCUUUUAUUUUAAGAUGGGAGUUUCCAUUUUCCCCUUCUUCAAUUAUUAUGCUUUUUAAUUAUAGUGAAAUGCUUCUAAGUAAGAAUUUAGAGUAAUUUAUACUAUCUUUAUGAAAAUAUAAAAGGAUGUAGUAUUGAUUUUCUAAUAAAUUCGAGUUAGUAACUUAACCUGUAUGUAAUUUGAAUGCAAUUAGUAAUAGAUAUUAUCAUCUUCCUUUCAUUGAAGAUUUUGUUUGUACUCUUUCUUUUUGUUUUUCCUCAUUUGCUUAUAUUAUUAUAUUAUAAUUUGACGUAUGCACUUGUCCAAUAUCAUAUGUUAAACUUAACGUGAAUAGGUUUCGAUAGAAGUUAAAAUUGUCUCAUAUUUGCAAAUUUGAUGGUAGAUUGUAUUACAUUUGACGUUAUGUUGUUUUGAAUUGCUUUGCAUGCAAUUGUCCCAUAAAUAAAGACAACAUGUUCACAAAUAUAUAGCUAGAGAUAUAGAAGGACUUAUUAUAUAAAUGUAACGUUGUGCUAGCUAUAAUACAUAAGAAAGAUUCGUUAAUUAAUUAACAUGUAAUAAAGUAAAACGAAAGGGGUAAUAUUUGUUAAUCAUAUAGUUGAUUAAUCAAUAAAUCAUGUAGGUUAAUCAAUGUCAUUUGAAGAGGGAGGGAGAGAGGAAGAUGAAUAUAUUAUAACAAUGAGCAAAAGGAUAUUUUAUAGGUAAAUAGAGAGAGAAGAAAGGUAUAGAAUGUCAACUUUACAAUCACAUUUUUGGAAGUAGAAGUAGAAGAAGAAGAGAUUUGGUAAUUUAUGUUGAGAAAAACCGAAGCACAUAUUUAUUAUUGUUUAGAUCUCCUCAUCUCCUCAAGUUGGCCUAUCUUUAAACAACAUAUAUAAGGGUGUGUGUGUCAUUAUUUGCUCCUAUUUAAUGUCUUUAAUUCUUUGGAUUUUGGUCAAACAAGCAAUCUUUUCCUUCGAUAGGUUCACUGAAUUUAGACUUAAUUUUAAAAGAAACCUCAACCUCCAUUAUUACUGCUGUUCUUAUAAUGAAUUCUUUUCAGUAACUUAUUAAAAACAGUCUCUCUAUGAGGGAAGAAGCUAAGCCUAGCUAUCCCCAUCAUUCAUUAUUCACACUUUCACUCUUAUUCUAAGAGUUUUUCCAUCUAUACUUCACUUUAUAGAAUUAUCUUCAACAAUGUAUAUAUUGUAUUAUUAUGUCAACGUUAAAUAAAACUUAUAUUAUUGUGUUGGUAAUUGUCAAUGAAUUCAUAUUCAGAAGUUUGAAAACCAAGUGUAUUUAAAAAGUCCG
rnacentral:lncRNA from 1 species